CACCGGAACCAGAGUGAAGCAGCACAUGGCUGCAUUGCAGUACUGGGGCUCAGCACAGUAGCAUGGGGCCCUGCUCACAGGUUUUAUCAGUUGUGUCAGGAAUCAGCAGGAGCUUGCUGGCUGAAUAAUAAUGUGUCACAGGCAUUUCUUCAACCUCACUAAUGUAAUUAAAGCAAGCAGGGGGAAAAGCCUUGUGCAGGGAAGGAACCAGCAUGUCCAGUGUUUUUGGUUACUGUCACUAUCGCAAGGACGAAAUGUGAAAUGUGGAGAGGGUGAAACUGGCAAUGGGGACCUGAGCAAUGGCAAGAACCAGGGUUCUUGCCAUUAAUUACUUCCAGUGUCAUGAGAGCACUGCUCUUUCCAGAGAAAGACAAGGGAAAACAGAAGUGCUGUCCUUGGGAUGCAGGAGCUGGAUCUCUCAGUUCAGAUUUGAAACUGCUGCCUGGACAAUGCCAGCACACUGGGGUGCUGCUCCCCUAUGCUGCCACCACCAAGUUCCUCCUCCUAAUCCCAGGGCUGUCUGCUGAUACACAACCCUCAGUGUCAACAGGAUGGGGCUCCCAGGCUGCCACGGAUGCCAAAAUGUCCAUCAGGAAACCAGAGGCGUCAGGCCUGGGUUGGGCUGCGUGGGAGCAGGGUGGGAAAGUCUGUGUGGUUGGUGACUCUUGUCUUCUUGAAUAUUUUUAGCCCUGAGCAUUUUUAGCAUUGCUUGCCGCUUUGAUCCCCCAGUCCCAACCCAUCCCCUGCCUGGACAGCUGCUUGCUCCCUUGAUAUCUCCUCAAAGAGGUGCUGCUGUGACAUUGCUGGCACCCUGGAAGCAGUGGGCAUGUUCCCACUGUCCAGCAGCCCCAUCAGGCAGUGCUCCAAAAACACUUUGUGUGGUAUUGAGGGCAGCAGGGAACGAAGGAUCUUUGGUUUUAAUAGUAGGUCAGCAAUUAGCAGGCAGCCAUGUCUCUCUAUUUGCUGCCACCCUGGAGAUGCUAGCAGAGGUUGGAGUACCCAUACAGCACCUUGGUGCUAUUGUUAUCUAAGUCACUAAUUACACAUUACCUAUAUGUCACCAGGCUGAUCGAUACUAAUCUGAGAAAUCAAUAGGGAUGUGGAGGUCGGUGCUGUUUGCCAUUCUGCACAAGCUGGGAAAAACAGGGCAUCAUCGAUCCCAAAGGUGCCACUGCUCUGCUUCCAUCAGCAAGAGGGACUUCAGCUGCAAAUGCAAUCAGAUUUUGCAGGAAGAAGCUCUCAGCACUGCCAUAAAACUUGGGAUUUAAAUGAGGUUAAGUAAGGGAAUUGCAUAACUAGGGGCUUUUGCCUGUCUUGUGAGUCUCAUGACUGUCCUGAUUCUGUCGUAGCGAUGCUGGGAAAUGGCUCUUUGAAACUACAAGAGCCUUAGAAAGGUGCAGGCAGGUCAGGAUCAUCUGCCCUCAGCGUUUGGCUUGUCUUGAGCAGUUAGCUGAUGGUGGUGGGAUUAGGCAGAGAGCAGCGUGGGGUGAAAGCAAAACUCUCCCCAGAGGCUUUGCUCGUGCUCAAUCAUGCCUGUGCCCUCACUGAGGUGUGGAGCUCUACAGCCCCCUCCUGCCAUGCUGGGCAGGUGUUGUGGCUUCAGGGGUUUACAUCAGUACUCCACAUCAUAACAUCUUGUAGUGUGCUGGGAGUUAAAGAGUUCGUGCUGCAGCUCCAUAGAUUGUCAAUAAUCCAAGGAACUGCAGCAUUAAUUGUCAAACUUAAUGAUUUCUGGUCACCUGUUCUCAGCAGAGAAGAACGAAGUACAGCUCCCAGAAGACUUCAUUUUUCUGUUCCCAUUUUCCAUUUGGAGGGAAAGAUAAAACAGGCUGGGAGUCACAAGACUGCCCUCUCUGCUCCCUGGCUGCUCAGCCUACAGCAUUAGAGUAAGGACUUCAGUUUCAGAAACUCUCUGUUUCACAUUUUAUUUGAUUUGCUUCCAUUUCAAUCUUACUGUAUUAUAUUGUAUUAUCUCACAUUCUGCUACUACAUUCAGUAAGCUUUUUUUCCUUUAGCUUGUUUGAGGCCCAUCUUCCUACCUUUUCCCUUUUUUACUCCCCCCCUGCUUCCUGGGGCAUGGAUCCAUGGGUCCCUUUGGCUCUUCAUCAUGGAAACCAGGCCAACCCCUGACAGCAGGCAAUAUUAGAGGUGAGCAGGUGGGGGUGCAGCCAGGCACCCACCCCCAGCAGAUCAGCCUCUGCUCACUAGCAAAGCAGGAGAUCUUUGCUUGGAAAGCAUAGGAUGAAGAGUUCCCAAGCAGCAGCAGUCAGGCUCUCAUCAGGCUUUUAGGGCAGAGGGUAGCAGAAUGAGAUCUGGGUAGAGGCUGCUGGUCCCCACAUUCAUCUACAAAGACCUGUUGCUUUUCCUAAGCAGCAGAUGCAAUCUGCUUUGGUCCCAGAGCAGACUGCCAGGAACUUAAUCCAGCAGCAGACCCAUAAUCCUUUCCUUAGUCCCACAAGCCCCAGAUGCAGAAAGGUGAUGGAUUUGCUGUUUCAUAGGGUUUACUUGGCCCAGCCUCAUUCCCCACAGCACUGGGGAGGUGUGCUUUGGGAUUUUCCCCCAGCAAUGAUGUAGCAAUAUUUCUGAGGGGGUCUUGCACCACUCUGCACUCAAGGACCUGAGCUUUUGGCACUGACAACAGGCUGUGUUCAGCAGAGCAAAACCUGCUUGUGGUGCAGAUAGAAAUGGAGAACCACAGCCAACGUGCAGUGGCACAGGGCUCUAAUCUUCAACCCUGAUGUGGCAACGCUGCUGGGAACUGUGUGGAUUCUCAGACUGGGAGCUCCUCAGGACAUGGCUGAUGAAAGAAGCUGGCAGCCCCCGGUCCUUCCAUUACAACUUCAUCUUAAGAGACACUUCCCCCUGGCAUUAACCUCUACUUUUAAAAUACCAGCAAAGAGGCUUUUGCUGAUAAGGGACCAGGACAGGAUUUCAGCUGUGCACUCAUUUGCUCUCCCUCUCUACCAGCAAUGAUGGGCUGCAGCUGGGGAGUUGGAGCCACUCUGCUGACCUCAUAUAUAAAUGGGGCCAGGUAGCUACCCAGCUCCUAAGGAUGCUGCAAUUUGGGCUGGAGAUGAAGUGCUCCAACAGAAAUUUAAUUUUAGUGAGAUGGCACUAUGCUUGGUGCUUGUCUGGGAAAGGAACCCAAGUGCUUCUGCCUGGUGCUGGAAUCACACCUGCAGAUCAACAGCUGCUUCCUAAGGAAAUUCAGCCCUAAGCUGGAAAGAGUUCAUGGAGCAAAGGUUGACCAUCCUGAGAGCUGUCAUCUCCGAUGGGGCCACAGUUUGCAGCAGCAGGCUGAAGGGCAGCAGCAGCAAUGGGGCAGCAAAGCAGCCUUUUCUCCAUCCUGGAGGGAUCUGCACGCUCCCGCACCCUGUAAGAGUCGCUGCCAUCAGCACCACGUGGCCACAACGUUUGUCACUCCUCCCAGAAGUUUCUGUGAGUUUUGCUGUGAAAUCCCCACUCUCCAUCCAAACCAAAGCAGGCUUUGGUGGAUGGGAGCUGUCUGAACACGGGAUUCUGCUCACCAACCCUGACUCAGCUGCUUGCACUCAAAAUUCAGCAAUAACCCCUGACAGCUACAGCUAAGCCGGUCCUGGCCUUUCAGGUAACCUUCUCACUUGUAAAUUAACCAGAGUUUUCAACACAAGCACCAGAAAGUUUAAUGCUCAAGCUGACUGAAGAAAAAUGAAAAAGAAAAAAAGAAAAAAGCACGUUAUUUUAAUUAGAGAGAGUAAGAGACAGAUAAUAAGUCUGAUGAAUUGUGGCUGUCUCUCUUCCAGUGCCAUUGCAUCUGGGAACACUGGAAAGUAGCUCCUAAUGGCACUGCUUUAUCUAAGAGGAUGAUGGAUAGUAGUGAAAGAGGGGAAAAAAAGGGGAAAAGUAAGACAUUAGCACAUCAAUGGUGUGCCUGUGACCUCUAUCAAGGGAUGUGAACCAACUUAAUGAAAUUUUAAUUAGGCAGCAAGCGGUGCACUGUUGCUGGGUACUGAAUCAGACCUUCUCGCUCUCACUCAGUCAUUAUCUUUCCUCGGGAUAAGCUCUUUUCCAGCACUGGCAGCAAAGCCAAGCUCCUUUUCUGGGGCCAGGAACGCCCUGCAGGUCUCCCAGCUCUCCCAUCUGCUUCUCCAUACGAAGUUGUGGGAGAGGAGCCCAAAGGCAGAGGCACUGCAGCCUCAAGGGCGAUGGAGGGAAUGCCAUGCCAUCGGUGUCCUGCCAUGUCACUGCCAUCCUGUACCUGACUCUGCUCUGUGUCUCACAAAGGCCGGGAGCAAUGUUCGGCCCAAACAUACCUGUGUGCCUGGGUGAAGCCCUUCCCUAAGUGUGAGGCCCUGGGCCCCCUGGGUUUGUUUGUCCCAAGGGCUGUAGGCAGGUGAGCCAAGAUGAGCUGCUCAUCAUUGUUGUGAGAAGCCAUUUCUCAGCUGAUUACAACCUAAUGGACAACCUAAGAGCACAUGAGGAAUCCAGUGCCUGCCUGAGCUGAACAAGAAAGUGAAGGCACGUUCAGCCUUUCAGCAUCUUCUAAUAGAAGGGAAAGCAGUUGUUCUGUGCAUUUUCAAUGGGCUUCCCUGAAUCUUUUGGACCCUGCUAUGGAUGAAAACCCAGGAAACACCCACCCUGAAACUCACUGGGCUGUGCAAAGCCUUCACCUCAUCCUAAGUGGGUUAUUUUGUACUGUGCUCCAGCAGGGCGCUCGCUGGCUUCAUAAACAAAUGGUCAAUGUGUUUUCAACUUGAAUAUCAUGGGCUGAUCAGCUCCUGUUAUUUCAGAUUAUGUGCUUGGCAAAGCCUGAAAAUAAUUGGAAGCUAUCUGGAAAAAUAAAAAUAGAAAUUUGAAAGGAAGCAGCACUGGCUUCUGAAGUGCAGCACUGACAAAGGAGCACAUGAGCCAAAUGCUCCCACUGAAAGAGAAAAAAAAAGCUACUCUGCACA